rnacentral:rRNA from 1 species
GUCCACGCCCUAAACGAUGUCUACUAGUUGUUGGGGAGUUAAAUCCCUUAGUAACGCAGCUAACGCGCGAAGUAGACCGCCUGGGGAGUACGGUCGCAAGAUUAAAACUCAAAGGAAUUGACGGGGCCCGCACAAGCGGUGGAUGAUGUGGUUUAAUUCGACGCAACGCGAAAAACCUUACCUACCCUUGACAUGUGAGGAACCCUGCAGAGAUGCAGGGGUGCCCCGAAAAGGGAACCUCAACACAGGUGCUGCAUGGCUGUCGU